rnacentral:rRNA from 1 species
GAUGAACGCUGGCGGCGUGCCUAAUACAUGCAAGUCGAGCGAACGGACGAGAAGCUUGCUUCUCUGAUGUUAGCGGCGGACGGGUGAGUAACACGUGUAUAACCUACCUAUAAGACUGGGAUAACUUCGGGAAACCGGAGCUAAUACCGGAUGAUAUUUUGAACCGCAUGGUUCAAAAGUGAAAGACGGUCUUGCUGUCACUUAUAGAUGGAUCCGCGCUGCAUUAGCUAGUUGGUAAGGUAACGGCUUACCAAGGCAACGAUGCAUAGCCGACCUGAGAGGGUGAUCGGCCACACUGGAAGUGAGACACGGUCCAGAGUCCUACGGGAGGCAGCAGUAGGGAAUCUUCCGCAAUGGGGGAAAGCCUGACGGAGCAACGCCGCGUGAGUGAUGAAGGUCUUCGGAUCGUAAAACUCUGUUAUUAGGGAAGAACAUAUGUGUACGUAACUGUGCACAUCUUGACGGUAACUAAUCAGAAAGCCACGGCUAACUACGUG